rnacentral:tRNA from 1 species
CAAAGUAUAGCUAAACUUAAAGCCUCUCGCCUACACCGGGAAAAUAUCUGAUCGCCCAGAUUACUUUGA